rnacentral:rRNA from 1 species
UACGAAGGGGGCUAGCGUUGCUCGGAAUCACUGGGCGUAAAGGGUGCGUAGGCGGGUCUUUAAGUCAGGGGUGAAAUCCUGGAGCUCAACUCCAGAACUGCCUUUGAUACUGAAGAUCUUGAGUUCGGGAGAGGUGAGUGGAACUGCGAGUGUAGAGGUGAAAUUCGUAGAUAUUCGCAAGAACACCAGUGGCGAAGGCGGCUCACUGGCCCGAUACUGACGCUGAGGCACGAAAGCGUGGGGGAGCAACAGG